CUCAGCAAGUGGCAAAAGGACUUCGCUUCAGCCAUCUGGAAAUGAACAGCUUUGGAGCAUGAUCUGAUGUCUUCUACCCAAUUCCCAUGAGAAAAGUCACUGUUAUUGGAGCCACAAUGAAGAAGGUCACUGGAAGGGUAAUUACAAAUCUAGUCACAGAAGACAGAGUGGUGCAAUGGAAAUAAGCUUACUGCUUAGCUGAAGUUACAGCUUUAAGAAUUAAAGAUGAACCCACUUUCCACGGGAUCCUGCAUGAAGAAGGAUGUCUGCCGCCAUUGUCUGGAGGAUGAAAGCGUUCGAGUGAAGCAUGAAGGAGGCAGGUGACAGCCCGCACAGCUAAGAGGAGACCAAUCCAAAGAGACCUGCAGCAGCUGUGAAUCCUCCGGAACCUCCCAGUCUCGGGACCACAGUUCUCACCUCUCAAGGCGGCUCAGCUCAGAACCUCCCAGUCUCGGGACCACAGUUCUCACCUCUCAAGGCGGCUCAGCUCAGAACCUCCCAGUCUCGGGACCACAGUUCUCACCUCUCAAGGCGGCUCAGCUCAGAACCUCCCAGUCCUGGGACCACAGUUCUCACCUCUCAAGGCGGCUCAGCAACAUUGGAGUCGCCAUUCCCUAUCAGCGUGGUGCCUGUGGAGAGGCAGCUUCAACCGUGUGGCUAAAAGGCUGUCCUAACCAGGAGGCAUCCAUGUAGAUACAGGAUUAUGCAGCUAUCGCCCCUUUCCGUGGUCCCCGUGCAGGAGGCAGCUGCUCGGCUCCACGACUCUGACUUCAGUGCCGGCCUGUCUUGAGGAUGGAUGGCGUUCAGGUUUCUAGGACCAAGACAAUAGCCUCAGCAAGCCAUCCUGCUCAACAGUGCUUGUUUCCGGCUCUAUGGCAAAGACCCCUGCAUUUGCUACCACCGGCCUUUCCAUCUCCUGAGACAAUCAGAAGUGCAGCUCAUGGACCUGCACCUGCCGAAUCUGACUGCUCACUUCAACAUGGUCCUCGAGAGUAUUAACAUUUCUGCAGCAUCUUCAACACAUGAUUGAUGACUUAAUACUUGCAGCUCUGUUGUUCAGUGCUCCCCUAAUUGCUCUUUUCCUGAUUUUCAGUUACAGAACUUCUGUUCCUUUCAAAGGACUGAAGGCCCCUUGCCUGUCAGUUCCUCGGUAGAAGCAUUAAACCAUGCUUUUCUACGGCAUGCUUCUGUAUUCCAUUCCCUCUUCCGUCCUACAAGCCAACUAUCCCACGCUAUUUCAGCUAGCCCUGCUGUGGCUUUAUAGCCAGACUUCUUCACAGCCUUCUUAUAUUUGGUGAAAGUACAAAGUCUCUUCUAAAAUGCGGUUGUCAAGAGCAUGUCUUAAGUUUUAUUGUAGAGUAUACAAUGUCAUGAAGGAAGAAGUCAAAUAUUCAUGAACAUAAAUAAAUUAUACUUAUAAAUAAUAUAAAUAAGUACUUCUUGUUAUAAAAUAAAAACUAAGAUUUUCAUUAUUGUUUCAGAACACAAAGUAACAGAAGCAAAAGAUCCAAAAGGGCAUAACAAAUUCCAAAACAAACUCUUGGUUCAUCAUGACCUGCACACUAUUUCGAUGGCUUUUUUCUGUGCCUCUGGAUCAUAAUGUGCUUAGAGAUGAUUUAAGAUUCCAGUGUAUUUUGCAUAUGAACUUUUGCUUGGUUUCUAUUCUCCUCUUUUUGACAUGGAUGAUUGACUUUGAUGGUUGAAAUAUAAGCUUCCAUAAUUAUUCAUGCUGAAUUGCAUCUCAUUGUGUACAUAAAGUUUUCUUGUACAUCAAGAUGUAGUCAAUCAUCCAUCAAUUAUGUUGUCAGUGGAAAUCCUACCUUUGUCCUUUUUGAAACUAUGUGCUGGGGGUUUUGAAUAUAAACUGAAAGCAAUAUUUAACGCCCAUGUCUCCAUGGAAAUGAAUAGAAUUGCACAUGAAAUCUUUAAGUACUUUUUAAAAUUAUAGUAAAUAGACCUUGCUCUUUUACAGAACAGCUUUUCAGUUUGUGUCUUGUUUCUAAUAAAUAAUUGUAUGUAAUCACUCCAUUUUUAGUUUAACACAGAGUAUAACAAAUUGAUGGCAGGAAUAGAAAGCGAACUCCCUACUCCAUGGAAGGGUAUCCCAUUGAUUGUAAUUACCAAAAACUACAGAUACAAAGAUUAAUUAAAUACACUUCUUAUGUUUAAUAAUUAACAAGGGAACGGACCUCAGUCAGGGUCAAGCGGCUCUUUUGGGUUGACAGACCUCAUGGAAGACUUCAGCUCCUGUUUUCUGGAUGGUUUAUAUUGUUACUAUUCACAUCUACCCUUUGAGGAUAAAGAUGGACCACUGUUCUUCACCAGCUGCCCUGACUUUAAUAAGAGACUUUCAGGAAGGACAGAAGAGGUGAAGGUCUGGCCAGGCUCACAGCAAGUGGGUCUCCUAAGUGGACAAUAGAACUUUGGAGAGGUCACAGGUGAUCUGUUUGUUUCAAUUUAAGCCCAUCUGUGACCACAAAUUGCAACUCCCUGAGUAAGCACUUCGCUCCAGGCAAUGGAAUAAUAGAAAUUAGAUAAUUAAGAAAGUAGGCUGCACAAAUUAUAAAAAGAGGUGGCCUUCUAAACCAGCUUUAUAUUCAGCUCAAUUAAAUAAAAGGCAAGCAUUCAUGUCACCUACGGCUUUGGUCUAGAAAUAUUGCUGCAAUGUUCUGUGUUGCUGCCCAAUGUGAGCAUUUCGAUAUGUUAAUAGACUUGCAUCUUGACGCACUGAUAGUCUCGAUCUAAAGAUGAUUUAAGAUGUUUAUGAAAGCUUCAGAGAAGGAACCUCAUCUCGCUGCUCUGCGUAAUUCAAGCGUUAAUGGAAACAACUGCAAUUCAAGCCAAAAAGAUCAAAGAUGAUUUCGCAAGCACUUUCCAGGCCUCGGAGAAAGAUGGGAAACAGCAAAAUUUAAGAUUCCUGCAAAGAAAGCAAUAUUUAGGUUGAUUUCAAAUCACGUUAAUAAGACAAUGGAAAAUAAAAAUUACCCCUCCCUCAUUAACUGGUGAUCAAUUUCAAUGUGUUAUCCCUUUGCUUCUUGCCUAGACUGUUUCUUAAUAGAGGUUCUCUUUGAUGAGACCACAUUUAAUAUAAUGUGAAAGAGGGAAUUCACAACCUAUAGUGUACAAAUCAGCAGCAUCAUUAACCCAGGUUUCAGGAAGGUGAUAAAUACCGAGACACUCAUCAUAUUAAAGUUAGUUUACAUAUCCAUUUGAAAACAAGGGACAUUUACAAAUUUUUCAUUGGUUAUCAGAGACUAAAAUCCAUACCACUCUGUAUAAGUUUUCAGUAAAUGGCAUUUUUAAAGAUUAAUAAGUAGUACAAGUUUUCUGUUUCUUAUCGCCUAGCUUCUCUGAAAACACGGCCUAGGACUUCCUUAAAGCAGUCUACAUUUGGCUGUUCUUUUACUCCAUGUUUUCAUUUUGAAAUAUGAGUUUCUGAAUUAAGGGUUAAUUAUAAAUUUUACUUAUAUCAAUACAAAAUUUUCAAGCAAACACAAAACACCUCUGUGUGAUUUCUCAUCAUGCAACAAUCACAACCAAUGACUUGGCAUUUAUAUUUCAGAACUUUACACGGUUUUGUUUUAAAUCACUGUCAACACAAUUACUUGUUUGUAUUCGUUUUUCUUAAUGAUCAUUUAGCAGAGAAAUGUAUUAGACUACACCAUGGCUACAGUUAUCACCAUAUAGAUCUAAAGGAUACAAAAUCUGUUUUCCUUCUAUAAUAACAAUAUUAAAAAUUGUCAAGAAAAACAAGAAAGAGUAUAUAUGUUAAUGUAUAGCAAGUCAUCAAAACUUAUGGUAUAAUUAAUCAUUAAUAAGCAAUUAGAAGUAUCUCAUGACUUGGAAAGUUAAUAGGUUCAACUAAAUGCUUGUAACUUGAACUCAUUUAUGGCUACACUUCUACAUCAUGUAUAAACUAAUAAAGUGAUGGGUGAUAUUGAAAAUGACUGGAACUAAACAAAUAAGCAGUGGGUUGUACUUGAGUUAGUUACUGGCCAUUCAUGACUAAAGACAAAACUUCCGAUUUGCUCUUUACUCUUCAAAAAUAUACAAAAACAAAAAUAAUUUAUGCAUCUUUCUUUGCACUGAAGGUUUGUACUAUACCUUUAUAUAGCAUGGAGAACAUAUGCAAAGUCAGAUUCUUCCUUUUCAGUGGACAGUCAAUUUCCUUUUGAGCUUUUAGUUCUCUGCUUUGGAAACUACAGGUUAAAAAAAAAUGCUCCUGCCAUUCUGAGGCAAAGAGGUGUGUUUCUGACCUGGAAUGCA